GAUGAACGCUGGCGGCGUGCCUAAUACAUGCAAGUCGAGCGAACGGACCAGGAGCUUGCUUCUCUGAUGUUGGCAGCCGACGGGUGAUUAACACGUGGAUAACCUACCUCUACGACUGGGAUAACUUCGGGAAACCGUAUCUAAUGCCGAAUAAUUUUUUGAACCUCAUUGUUCACACGUUGAAGACGCUCUUGCUUUCGCUUAUAGAUGGCUCCGCGCUCCAUUCGUUAGUAGGUAAGGUAACGGCUUAACAAGGCAACGAUGCAUACCCGACCUGAGAGCGAGAUUGGCUAGCCUGGCAGUGAGACAGGGCCCCGACUCCUACGGGAGGCAGCAGUAGGGAAUCCUACGCGAUGGAGGAAAGCCUGAUAGAGCAACGCCGGCUGAGUGCUGAAGGUCUUCGGACGGUAAAACUCUGUAAGUCGUGAAGAAGAUAUGUGUAAGUAACUGUGAAGAUAUUGACGGUACCUAAUGAGAAAGCCCCGGCUAACUCCGUG
rnacentral:rRNA from 1 species